CGUGCCUAAUACAUGCAAGUCGAGCGGAACAGAUGGGAGCUUGCUCCCUGAUGUUAGCGGCGGACGGGUGAGUAACACGUGGGUAACCUGCCUGUAAGACUGGGAUAACUCCGGGAAACCGGGGCUAAUACCGGAUGGUUGUUUGAACCGCAUGGUUCAAACAUAAAAGGUGGCUUCGGCUACCACUUACAGAUGGACCCGCGGCGCAUUAGCUAGUUGGUGAGGUAACGGCUCACCAAGGCAACGAUGCGUAGCCGACCUGAGAGGGUGACCGGCCACACUGGGACUGAGACACGGCCCAGACUCCUACGGGAGGCAGCAGUAGGGAAUCUUCCGCAAUGGACGAAAGUCUGACGGAGCAACGCCGCGUGAGUGAUGAAGGUUUUCGGAUCGUAAAGCUCUGUUGUUAGGGAAGAACAAGUACCGUUCGAAUAGGGCGGUACCUUGACGGUACCUAACCAGAAAGCCACGGCUAACUACGUGCCAGCAGCCGCGGUAAUACGUAGGUGGCAAGCGUUGUCCGGAAUUAUUGGGCGUAAAGGGCUCGCAGGCGGUUUCUUAAGUCUGAUGUGAAAUGCCCCCGGCUCAACCGGGGAGGGUCAUUGGAAACUGGGGAACUUGAGUGCAGAAGAGGAGAGUGGAAUUCCACGUGUAGCGGUGAAAUGCGUAGAGAUGUGGAGGAACACCAGUGGCGAAGGCGACUCUCUGGUCUGUAACUGACGCUGAGGAGCGAAAGCGUGGGGAGCGAACAGGAUUAGAUACCCUGGUAGUCCACGCCGUAAACGAUGAGUGCUAAGUGUUAGGGGGUUUCCGCCCCUUAGUGCUGCAGCUAACGCAUUAAGCACUCCGCCUGGGGAGUACGGUCGCAAGACUGAAACUCAAAGGAAUUGACGGGGGC
rnacentral:rRNA from 1 species